rnacentral:piRNA from 1 species
UGUGUAUUUUCAGAUGGCGAGAUGAGUCCC